AGCGAACGCUGGCGGCAGGCCUAAUACAUGCAAGUCGAACGCUCGUAGCAAUACGGGAGUGGCAGACGGGUGAGUAACACGUGGGAACGUGCCCUUCGGUUCGGAAUAACCCAGGGAAACUUGGAUUAAUACCGGAUACGUCCGCAAGGAGAAAGAUUUAUCGCCGAAGGAUCGGCCCGCGUCCGAUUAGCUAGUUGGUGGGGUAAUGGCCCACCAAGGCUACGAUCGGUAGCUGGUCUGAGAGGAUGAUCAGCCACACUGGGACUGAGACACGGCCCAGACUCCUACGGGAGGCAGCAGUAGGGAAUCUUGGACAAUGGGCGCAAGCCUGAUCCAGCCAUGCCGCGUGGGUGAUGAAGGCCUUAGGGUUGUAAAGCCCUUUCGGCGGGGAAGAUAAUGACGGUACCCGCAGAAGAAGCCCCGGCUAACUUCGUGCCAGCCGCCGCGGUAAC
rnacentral:rRNA from 1 species